CUGCUGUCAGAUGACAGUUUUCUCUUUGGCAUUUUUAUGAAUUAAAGCUUUCAAGGCCAAACUUCAGAUUUGCUUAGCAUAUUCCUGUACUACAUAUCAACAAAUGUUUGAUGGUCUGUCUGAGCACUAUGAAGAUGGGCUACACAGGUAUCAGCUAUCAGCAGUGCACCCCUAUGAUAUACAAGUCUUCAUUGCCAAGUCACUCUGCCAAACGGUGUGUACACCUUUCUUGCAAUGGUAG